ACCGCGAUAGCUCAGCUGGUAGGGCAUCCGCUCGGUAUGCGGUGGUCGCCGGUUUGUUUCCGGCUAGCGGCU
rnacentral:tRNA from 1 species